GACGUAGGGGGCGAGCGUUGUCCGGAAUUAUUGGGCGUAAAGAGCUCGUAGGCGGUUUGUCGCGUCUGCUGUGAAAUCUGGGGGCUCAACCCCCAGCCUGCAGUGGGUACGGGCAGACUAGAGUGCGGUAGGGGAGAUUGGAAUUCCUGGUGUAGCGGUGGAAUGCGCAGAUAUCAGGAGGAACACCGAUGGCGAAGGCAGAUCUCUGGGCCGUAACUGACGCUGAGGAGCGAAAGCAUGGGGAGCGAACAGG
rnacentral:rRNA from 1 species